CAAUCGUGCGCCUCCUUCUAGCCCGACCCCGCCCCCCGGCACCUCCUCUCUAACGGCUGUUUGUUUUUGCACACGGCACUCGGAGGCGGGGCCUCCGGCCCCAACACAGGCGCGCCUGUGCGCGACCCGGGGCGGGGCCAAGCGCCGCUCUUCGCCUAUUGCCAAUGCUCGAGCCUGAUGAACCGAGGGACUGACCAAGGUUAGCGGACAGCUGGCGGAAGUUGGCCAAUAAAAACAUCGCCCGCGAGCAAAGGAGGCGGGCCGCGAGGAACGAUAGCGAGUUUAGCCAAUGGAUGGAAAGACUGGAGGCUGUGCUGGCUUUCCCGCCAUUUCUCCGCGACCGCUGUCAGGUUGAGAACUGUUUGGGAAGGAAACAGCUAUCGCUGUCGCUUCUGCUGGUGGCUUUUCACAGAUUCCGAGGAUUUCUCCGUGCUAGCCGGGACUCGCUCUGCGGCGGGCACUGUUCCGGGGCCUCGCGGCCCUCCCCUUCGGCGUCUUCCGCUGACGUUAGGUUAGCCGUGGGGACGCCCAGAGAAAAGGGAGAGAAUCUGGGAAAUGGGUUUUAUGCUUUGGCCGCUCCGGGCAGCGUUUCGGGUGCGGGAAGCCAACCGUCCCCGCGGAGAUUUCGUUCUGGCGGGAUUUUCCCAGGCUGGCAUUUCAGAAGUAUCACCAGGUGGGCAGAUCCUGUCCCAAAGUGUGAAUUCUCUUACUUCUGACACGGAGGAAGCAACGUGGGGGACUCCGAGUCUUUGAGGAAAUGUAACUUGAGUAAUUGGAGGAAAGGAAGCGGAUGUUGAACUUCUAUAUAAGUUUGGAAAAAUACAAGUGAAAGUGUAGACGAGCGUGAGGAAGGAGGGGCCAGUGAAAUUGCAGGCUUGGAGCAGUGUGCCCCGAUAAACGGAAAAGCUGAAAGCUAGGUAGAAGAGUUAGGAGUUAAUUCAGUAAGCGAUAGUCAUUAACAGUGUCUGUUGCUUAUCGCUGCCCCUCCUUUUGUGUUUCUACCCUUAGUGAAUGGCAUUACAAGUCUGCCAGAGCAGCCACCUGUGAGUUCACCUUCCACAAAGCACCUAGUACCUACUGUUUGGAGGCACCGUGCUAGGUACUGGGGUUUCAGAGGUUGGCAAAGUAGACCUGUCCCUGUCGUCACUGCCCUUUACAGCAGGGAUCAGAUAGUAAAGAAGUAACUGUACAUAGGAGGAAAAGAAAAGGGUACUUUGAGAGAGAAGCAGAGAGAAUGUAAUUUAGAUAGGGUGUGAUUUAGCAAAGUGCAAUUCCACGAAGAAAGCAAAUAUAAAGGCUCUUGAAGUGAGAAAGAUUUGUAAGAAGGGACUUAGAGCAGGCUAGUGUGGCUGCUGCAGUUCUGACUAGAUCCUUCUAUUUCCUGAAUAGCAAAUCUGGCUUUUUUUUUUUUUUUUUUUUUUUUUUGCCAUGUGCAUUGCCACUGAUUCACGUUAGCCUCUCAUUUUUCUCCUGGAUUAAUGCAAAAAUCUGUUAACUAAUUUCCUAUCCUUCUCUUUCUUCAUUCCAUCCUCUGCUCCUUCUAAAAUACAAAUCUUAUUAUAUUUUCCUUUAACCUCAUUGACUAUAGAACAAAAUCCAAAUCCUUAUCAUGGUGUAGAAAGCCCUACAUUUUCCUGGCCCCUGCUUAUUUCGGGUUUUGUUGCUUCUCCCUACCACACUGAAACUCCACGUUGCCUGCUUUUGCCUUUGCUUGAAACAGUCCUUCAUCUCCGCUUCUCUCUGGCUAACUUUUAAUCAUCCUUUUAGGAUCAACACAGAUAUCACUUUCUUCAGCGUGUCUUCCUUGACAUCCCUGAUUUGGAUUAAGUGCUCUUUAGCACCCAGUGUAUUCUGCUGUCAUCAGUCUUUAUCAUGCUGAAUUGUGUUGGUCUCCUUUGGUGCACAGAACUUUCUUUUUAGGGUGUCACUCUUUUCUUGAUGCAGUACCUAGUAUCCUGUAAAUGUCACUUGGCGAAUGAAAAGAAAGAAUACUAAUUUUUAAGCCACUUAGAUAGGCAGUGUGGUCUGUAGAAAGACUUGUGUUUGAAUCUAGACUCCUUCACUUAACUACUUGUGUGAUCUUAGUGAGGGAUUUUUUUUUAAUGCAGGGGGAGGUAAUAGUGAGGGAUUUAAUAUUAUCUGUCGUGGGGGAGGGUAUAGCUCAGUGGCAGAGUGCGUGCUUAGCAUAUGGGAGGUCCUGGGUUCAGUCCCCAGUAUCUCCAUUUAAAAAAAAUAAUCUGUUUUGUCAUUUGUAAAACUGAAAAUAGCAAUGCCUGUUUUACAGGUUCUGAGUACUUUCUCAUACAUCAUUAAUUCAUUAGUUCUCAUACAUCGUUAAUUCAUACCUCAUUAAUUCAAUUCAUUCUCAUACAUCAUUAAUUCAGUGAUGUAUGAGAAAGUACUUAGCACUGUACCUAGCAUGUAAUCAAUAUCCAAUAAAUGUUAACUUCUUUCCUUAACAGGAAGUUUAUUUUCUCACUCACUACUCUCUACCCAUCAGCCUUCAUUUCAUUGAUUCAGAUUUUGAUGCAAAUGGAGUCAGGUUGAAAGAAACUAGUUCUCAUCACAGAUGACAGUAAUCCCUUUACUGAUUUAUGUAUCCUCUUUAGAGAUGAAAGAAACAUAUUGAGGGCCACAGACUGAAGGAAAAAUGGAUGGAAAUUUUCUGGCAACUGUAAACAGAAAAACUGCCUUUUAAUUUUAUGAAGCAAGUGUGUUAGUGAAUAAAGUCUAGUUUUCAGUGAAUUAGGGUUGCCAAGAAGGCAGUAUGAGCUCGUAAGGGGCAUGUCUAACCAGAGACUUUUAGAUAUUAACAUCUAUAAAUGAUAAACUACCAGAAUUAGCAAAUUAUUCAGCCUUGCUGGAUUUAACCCAGUAAGAUAACAGUGUAAUGGUUCUCAAAGUGUGAUCCUUAGACAAGCAGCACCAGCACCACCUAGAACUUGUUAGAAAUGCAGAAUCUGACCCCCAACCCACACCUACUGAUUCAGAAACUAGGGAUGGGGUGCAUGAAGCCCUUCAGGGGUUCUGGUGCACACUAAAAUUUGAGAACCACUGGUAGAGUAUAAGUUGUGGUGCAUAAUUCCAAAGCCCAUUUUGAAACUGAGACACUUAUUCCCUUAGCUUCCAAGAGUGUUGACUGAUCAUUGCUCAGUAGUCUUUUCCCAGGAAUUAUACUUGGCCAAAAGGAGCUGCAUAACCCAAGAUUAAACACCUUUUCAGCAGGCAGCCUUCAUUUUCUCAUAGUAAUGUUGCUAAGAGUGUUACUGUGGAAUCGUAGUAAACUUUUUUUUUUUUUUUGCCGGGGGUUCACUUACUUAUAUAUUUUUUUGUAGAGGUACUGGGGAUCGAACCCAGAACCUCAUGCAUUCUAAGUACACACUCUACCCUCCCCCUGCCAAUGGCUUUUCUCUGUAAAACUUAGCCAAUUUUUGAUUGAGCAGUAUAUACACAUGUAAAAAUUUCAGUGAAAAGAUCUUCCCACUCCCACCACAGUUAUUCAUUUUACCUCUGCAUAAGCAAUCAGUGUUGUCUGGAUAGUAAAAGUAUUUUAUAUUUUAGCCUUUAGAGAGGACAGCCUUAAUGAUUACAUAGAUUCCAGGAGUUUUUAAUCCCUGUGUUCAGUGUUAAAUUCCCUUUUAACACUGCAGUAUUCUCCAAAAUAUUAUAAAGUCUUUAAGAGAUAGAAAUUUUCUUUUGGUCACUCUAGUAAAGGACAGUCAAAUUCUUCUCCUCUUCCUCCUUUUUUUUUUUUCCUUUUUUUUCCCAAACAUCCCUGGAGGUUUAGGCCAAAUCCAUGUGGCCAGGCAGCUAUUUUCAUGAGCCAGAACCUGCCUGGUUCUAAUGAGGUCAGUCAGGCACCUGCAUUCAGCUUUGUGCUGCUGAGCCUGGGAGUCUGCAAACAUUUUUGCUUGGCCUUCUGCUUCCCUGAUAGGCUUUGCCAGUAAGGGAGCACUAGUGGGAAUUGCAAGACUGGAGGAGGGGUAAGGGACUUACUCCUCUCUGUCUGCCUUCUGUUCCUCUGAGCAUCACCACCCAGGCAGUGCUCCUUUACUCUGGCAGCAGCAGCAGUUCCUUUGGUAGGAACAGCUCAGUUAGCUUUUUAACACAUGCAAAACCAGCCCCCCGUGCUCCCUCCCCCUUCACCAGCACCAGCCAGCUUCUUCCUCAGAGUUCUGAGUUCUUUCUAGCUCCACAGGGUCCUUCUAGGUUGCUAAGGUUUUCCUUUUGUUUCUUCCAGGUAUUUGUUGACCUCUGUACAUCUUAGAGAUCUCUUUUUACCCUUUAGCAGUUAACAACUUUAUUUCCAGUUAAUAAUACUUUGUUAGUCCUCUCUGUUCAAAUAGCUGGUGUGUUUUCUGUAACCUGGAUGACCUUGACUGAUAAGCCCAUGAUAAUAUGUGUUUCUAACUUUGUAUUAUGGAAAUUCUUAAACAUACAGAAAAUAAAGAAAAUAGUACAAUGAAUCAGGUGUACCCUUCACACAACUGUAAUGAUCAUCAACUCAUGGCCAUUUUUAUUUUAUAUUCACAUUUACAUCUGCCCCUCCCCUAACUGGAUUAUGCUGAAGCAAAUCCAAAGUAAAGCAAAGGGGCAACAAAUGUUUUUACAGGAAAAUAGCUUCCUUAAAAAAACUGUGGGUCAUCUUGAAUUUGUAUAAUGUACAUACAUUUCUUACCUAAACAAUAAGACAAAAAAGCAAACGAAAAGCAGAAGGAAGAAAAUAAUAAAGAUUAGAGAGAAAAAUAAAUGAAACAAUAAAAAAAAAAAAGAAACCAAAAGUUGGUCAACUAAAGUUCAACAAAAUGGACAAAUCUUUAGCUAGACUGAACAAGAAAAAAAAUUAAAAUUACUAAGAAGUUAAAGAGGGGAAGUCACUACUGACAUUAUAGAAACAAAAAGGACUUUCAGGGAAUACUUUUGUUUUGCUUUUUCGGUGGGAGGUGGGGGAGGUAAUUAGGUUUGAUUGAUUUAAUGGAAGUCCUGAGGACUGAACCCAGGACCUUGUGCAUGCUAGGCAUGCACUCUACCACCAAGCUAUACCCUUCCCACUCAGGGAAUACUUUUGACUAACUGCCAGCAAAUUAAAUAACUUAGAUUAAAUGAGCAAAUUGCUAGAAAGAUAUAAAUUACUGAAACUGACUCUAAAAAAAGUAGAAAGUCUGGAUAGACCUAUGACAAGUAAAGAAAUUGAAUUAGUGAUUAAAAGUCUUCCUACAGAGAAGAGCCCAGCCUUCACUGUUGACUUCUAGCAAAUGUUUAAAAAAGAAUUAAUACCAAUCCAUCACAAACUCUUCCAAAAAAUAGGAGGGAACACUUCCCCAUUCAUUAUAUAAUGCCAGUAUUACUCUGAUGUCAAAAUGAGACAAAAGAUUAACAACAACACCCACAGGCCAAUAUUCUUUAUAAUUCAGUGCAAGGUGCCAUAUUACUAGAAUAAGGACAAAAAAAAAGAAUAAAGACAAAAACCACCUGAUCAUCUCAAUGGAGGCAGAAAAAGCAUGUGACGAAAUGCAACACUCAACAAAAAAACAGUCAACAGCUAGGAUUAGAAGGGAACUUCUUUAACCCGUUAUAGGUCAUCUGAAAAACCCACAGCUAAUAUACUUAAUGGUAAAAGACCGAAUACUCACUCUCAAAAUCAGAAACAAGACGAAGAUGUCUCUCUCUCUUCCUUUUAUUUUUUUUUUGUAAGAAC